UGCCUACAUCAUAUUGUUAAUGCAUCGGAUCCCAUUAGAACUAUGCAAUUAAACACUCUUAGGAUAGAGUGGUACUGGGAUGGGUGACCGCUCGAUAAGUCCUAGUGUUUUAGAUGC
rfam:Picea glauca, whole genome shotgun sequence.